UACACACCGCCCGUCACGCCAUGGAAGCUGGGGGGACCUGAAGUCGGUGGGCCAACCGCAAGGAGGCAGCCGCCAAAGGUCAAUUCAGUGACUGGGGCG
rnacentral:rRNA from 1 species